UACGAAGGGUGCAAGCGUUGCUCGGAAUUAUUGGGCGUAAAGGGUAGGUAGGUGGUAAUAAAAGUCUGGGGUGAAAUCCCUGAGCUCAACUCAGGACGUGCCUUGGAAACUUUAUUACUAGAGUGCUGGAGAGGUCCGCAGAAUUCCCGGUGUAGCGGUGAAAUGCGUAGAGAUCGGGAGGAAUACCAGAGGCGAAGGCGGCGGACUGGACAGCAACUGACACUCAACUACGAAAGCGUGGGUAGCAAACAGG
rnacentral:rRNA from 1 species